CUGCAUGUUUGGCACGUGAAGACCGAUAAUGGACAUGCCCAGGUGGAUUUAAGACUUGGUCACUGAUCUCAUGGAGACCCAUAAUGAUCUCCAGUUCCAUCCAUGAAAUUGCAAAUGACAGGAUCGUCCUCUUUUCUAUGGCUGCAUAGUACUCCAUUGUGUGUACGUACCAUAUUUGCUUCAUCCGUCCACCUGCUAUGAUGAAUAGAUAAAGUUGGUAUUAUGGAUCAAUGGCAAUUCGAUAUUCUUAAUUUUCUUAAGAGAAAAAUUCAGUGGCACACCAGAACGUGCUUAAGCAUCCUGCCAUGUUUCCGAGCUCCGGGGUUGCCUCUCUGUGUAUGA
rnacentral:lncRNA from 13 species